rnacentral:misc_RNA from 1 species
GGCGUCUAGCAGGCUUGUAUGGGUUGCAUUUGCGUCGCCCGGCGGCAGUCUCCUUGUGAGGUGUUGCCGGGGCGAUCUUUGUAACUCCUCUUGCGAUGGGACGACGCAUGAGUGGCUGCUAGGAUAUGCUCCCCUUGCAGGCUCCGUGUUCACGACAUCGAACUGCUUGGGGCUAUCCAUCUCAUCUGUGAGUCCGCCUCGGCGCAUCUUGGGUCGGUUGCGGCUUCUCGUCGGGUUCCUGUGCUUGAUAUUGAAUUCCGUAGUUGGAUGGAUCGAUUUUCCCCGUGUUGGUUCGUUGAUUCUCGCUCCGCCUCGCGGGGCGGUGGCGGAUAUCGCGGGGGCGUCGACGUUGUCCUCUCGAGCCGUUGCCUCCCUUCGGGAGCCAAUGCUUGAGAUGGCACGUAGAUGCUGCCGUUAUUCUCGGGUACGGAGAUCUGAUGGUUUUCGCAUAGGUCKUCGUCGGCCUUCGCGUUCGUGACGUUUCGAAGCACCCUCGCUUCUGCUCGCUUGACCCUCGUGGCCCUCCGAGAGCUCACGGAGCGUCUUCGUUCGGUGUUCUUCUCGGUUGAGCCAUCGAGGUCUACAAAGGAAUGC